AAUCAACGCUGGCGGCGUGCCUCAGACAUGCAAGUCGAACGAUUAAAGCUCUCUUCGGAGAGUGUAUAGAGUGGCGCACGGGUGAGUAACACGUAAGUAAUCUACCUUUGAGUGGGGAAUAACAGUCGGAAACGACUGCUAAUACCGCAUAAUGCAGCGGCAUCGCAAGAUGACAGUUGUUAAAGGAGCAAUCCGCUUAAAGAGGAGCUUGCGGCAGAUUAGCUAGUUGGUAAGGUAAUGGCUUACCAAGGCUACGAUCUGUAUCCGGUCUAAGAGGACGGUCGGACACACUGACACUGAAUAACGGGUCAGACUCCUACGGGAGGCAGCAGUCGGGAAUUUUGGGCAAUGGGCGAAAGCCUCGACCCAGCAACGCCGCGUGAAGGAUGAAGUAUUUCGGUAU
rnacentral:rRNA from 1 species